GCGGUGAAUGAAGCAGCCGCGGCAUGAACAUGCCGAGGAAAGUCCGGACUCCACAGGGAACGAUGCCGGGUAACGCCCGGGGGUUUUGGGGCCCAAGCCCCAAAAUUACGGAAAGUGCAACAGAAAGAAUACCGUCCGGCCGCAAGGCCGGAUAAGGGUGAAACGGCGGGGUAAGAGCCCACCUUGGCGGCGGUAACGCCGCCUGAACGGCAAACCCCAUCGGGAGCAAGGCCAAACAGCGCCGUCGGACGUAAUGUCCCGCAAGUACCCGCUUGAGGCGCGGGUAGGCCGCUUGAGACGGAUGGCGACAUCCGCCCCAGAUAGAUGGCUGCUUUUGUCCAGGCCGCAGGGCAGGGGCAAAGACAAAAUCCGGCUUAUGAUUUCACCGCCUUU
rnacentral:RNase_P_RNA from 1 species